UUGAACGCUGGCGGCAUGCUUUACACCUGCAAGUCGAACGGCAGCGCGGGCUUCGGCCUGGCGGCGAGUGGCGAACGGGUGAGUAAUACAUCGGAACGUGCCCAGUAGUGGGGGAUAGCUCGGCGAAAGCCGGAUUAAUACCGCAUACGACCUGAGGGUGAAAGCGGGGGAUCUUCGGACCUCGCGCUAUUGGAGCGGCCGAUGGCAGAUUAGCUAGUUGGUGGGGUAAAGGCCUACCAAGGCGACGAUCUGUAGCUGGUCUGAGAGGACGACCAGCCACACUGGGACUGAGACACGGCCCAGACUCCUACGGGAGGCAGCAGUGGGGAAUUUUGGACAAUGGGCGAAAGCCUGAUCCAGCAAUGCCGCGUGUGUGAUGAAGGCCUUCGGGUUGUAAAGCACUUUUGGCGGGAACGAAAAGGACUGUGCCAAGACCACGGUUCGAUGACGGUACCCGCAGAAUAAGCACCGGCUAACUACGU
rnacentral:rRNA from 1 species